ensembl:lncRNA
UUGACCGUCAAGUCGUGGGUCGGAGAAUCUUUUCCCGGAAAGAGAAGUAGUUCAGUCUUGUCGAGGUUGAUUUUCAGAUGGUGGGCGGACAUCCACUGAGAGAUGUCAGUUAGACAGGCAGAGAUCCGAGCCGCGACACAGUGCAGUAAGUGAACGUUAUGAGCCCAUUCAACGCAACCAUGAUGCCACACCAGACAUUGUACCGAAAAUGGAUGCUUGUAUAGCACUCACUGCAGAGAUCAGCGAAAUAAUAGAGAAGCGGCUUGAAACUGUAGAUGAGGUCUUCAAUCCAGAACUUGAGAAACUACGAGUGAGGAUGGCACUUAAGAAGGAUGAGUAUGGAUCUAUCUUCGGACACACAAAGACAGAUACUGUACUCUCUCUGGCAGAAAAUUCCAUCCACUCCCAGGGCUCAAGCAAACAUCUAGAUGCAGGAGCAGAACUCGCAGCGCAACAAGAAAAGGCUAAAGCAGUAUAUCAAAUACAAGCUCAAGAAGAAGUUCUUAGCAAGUUAGAAGAAGAGAAGCAGCUAGUUCUCAAAAGGUUAGAAGAAGAAAGGCAAGUAGCUCUUAAAAGGAUAGAGGCAAAUAUGCGUCAGGAAAAGAAAAGACUACAGCAAAUUCAAGCAGAGUCAGAAGUAAGAAUAGCAGAGGCGAGAUACAGCUUAAAUUGAGCACCAUGACAGCUGUUCCAUGACAGUCUUUUGCUUGCUGUAGCAUAGCAAGCAAAAGUGUCUGUGGUCUACAAGUUCGAGGACUAGAGUCUGGAAAACAGAUUCAGCUGCGCCAAGCCUAUACUCGUGGUUUCAUCCCGGUCGACAAGUCCUACAUUCCGACUUCCGAAACAGCGCUGCUCUGGCCUCAUCUAAAGCAUCUAGCAAACAAACUUCCACUGCUGAAGGACUGUGAGGUGGGACUGUUAAUUGGAAACGAUUGCCCGUUGGCGCUAGCCCCCCAGGAAGUCGUCAUAGGAGGCGAAAAUGAUCCAUUCGCCCAGAGAACGGAACUCGGCUGGAGCAUCGUAGGCUAAUCCAAUCCACAUCUGGAUCGCCAGGGAAACCAGAGGUUCGUCCAUCGAGUGACAGUGAAGGAAAUACCAGCGCCAUCAACCAAUGACGUGCUGAAGGUCUUGGAAUCAGACUUCAAUGAAAGGAAGUAUGCAGAUAAAGACAAGUAUGUGUCACAAGACGACGUUCGCUUCAUUCAGCUCCUGGGUGACAACAUAACUCAAAGGAAAGAUGGACACUAUGAAAUGCCCCUUCCUUUCAAGAGUACAGAGCCACCUCUGCUACCAGACAACAAGAAGCUGGCAACAGUUCUACUGCAGCACCUAAAGAAAAGAUUGAAAAAUAACGAGCGGUAUGAAGAACCGU